GUGAUGUUAGGAAGCACCUACCUUCCCUGGAGCCAUGGGCUCAGGUCUCAGCACAGCUGACUCGUGUUGGCUGAUGCUGCUUUGACCUCCACGUGCUCUGAGAGGGCUCAGGGCUGGACAACGAGGGGCAGCCCAGGCUCACCCCACGGACUGUCCCUGAGCAAGGCAUCCCCCUGUCCCUUGCACACUGGCACGCCCUGGUGCUAGAGGGGAGAUUCUUGUCUUCUUUGGAGCAUGGAGUAGCUGGAGGCACAAACCAACCACUUGUGUGGGGAAGAGUGGGGGAUGAUCUUUCACACAGGCCCUUCAGAUGGGAUGUCCUCUUGCUGUGGAAACAUGUCACAAAUCACUUGUAGCUGGAUCCCAGUGAUGCAAUCUGAGAUGAGAGGCUCUUUAAGAUACAGAGACUGAUAUCAAAACUCACUGCUUUUAGGGAGUCAGUGCAGGUCCAGCUGCUGUGUGGGACAGAAGAGUUAGCUAAUGGUGUUGGAAAGGCAGUGUACUGAGUUCUUGCAGCCUCCUUGGGCAAAAGAAUUUUGCAAAAAGAGAAAUUUGAAGUUUUUAUAUCCUCUCUGGCAUCCUCUUGUUUCUUUUUUUAUAAGGUUUGCUGGAGAGCACAGAAUCAUAUCACAAAAUCCUCUGGGUAACAAAGCCUUGCAGCUCCAUCUGAAGCAGGAAAAAUGA
rnacentral:lncRNA from 1 species